UACGUAGGAGGCAAGCGUUGUCCGGAAUUACUGGGCGUAAAGCGCGUGUAGGUGGUGGGACAAGUCUGCUGUGAAAGCGCCUGGCUUAACCGGGCGAGGUCGGCGGAAACUGUUCGACUCGAGGACGGUAGAGGGGGUGGAAUUCCCGGUGUAGUGGUGAAAUGCGUAGAGAUCGGGAGGAACACCUGUGGCGAAGGCGGCCCCUGGCCGAUACUGACGCUGAGGAGCGAAAGCGUGGGAGCGAACAGG
rnacentral:rRNA from 1 species